UACGUAGGGGGCGAGCGUUGUCCGGAAUGACUGGGCGUAAAGGGCGUGUAGGCGGUUUUUUAAGUCUGGAGUGAAAGUCCUGCUUUCAAGGUGGGAAUUGCUUUGGAUACUGGAGAACUUGAGUGCGGAAGAGGUAAGUGGAAUUCCCAGUGUAGCGGUGAAAUGCGUAGAGAUUGGGAGGAACACCAGUGGCGAAGGCGACUUACUGGGCCGUAACUGACGCUGAGGCGCGAAAGCGUGGGGAGCGAACAGG
rnacentral:rRNA from 1 species